GCAGCAAACCAAAGGUAAAAUCCGUAGCUCUUCAUUUCCAAAUUCUCCAAAAUUUCAAAUCUUCAUAUCUUUUUCGUUUCUCAACGAAAUUGAGCGAUUCUUGCGGCCACGGAACGAGGAAGUGAUUAUCUACAACUCUAUGGCAUCAAUUUAAGGUAAGGAGCUCGAAUUUUGGUCAGGGUUUCAGAGUUAUAUUUCGGGUUUUGCAAGUUUGAUGGUGAUGAUGCUUGAUUAACUAAGACUUGAUGUUUAUGCUAUAUAAUUGAUUAGUUGUAGUGAUUAUGGCUGAGAAUUGAAUUGAUUAUAAUGAGUGUGAGAGUUGUUCUUGAUUAGGGUUCAUGAGUUAAUUUAGAGAUUUAAUUGGGGUUUUGGUUGUUUGUUUGUUGUAUCAUGUUUAUGAGCUUGGAUUAAGAGAAUUCAUGAAUAUUUUUGAUGGCUAAGGCUUGGCCAAGAAGACAUCAUUAAGACCCAACGAGGUGAAUACCGACGAGGCGCAGAAUUUAUGGAUCGAGAUUAACGUUUUGCUGGAUUAGAGUAAAUGGAUAAGCAAGUGGGAUAGUAUGAUAUGAUUUGAAGAGUUAAGCUUCCGAAGUUUUAAUUCUCGGAAGUCAUUUGCACAAGAAGUAAAAGAAGGAUUUCAUUCUAGCGGUCCGCAGUAGUCUAGAUGUUUUUGUCUAUGUAUUUGUAUAACGCAUUUUGAACUCUGAUGUUUUUAUGUAAAAUGGGGUCACAUGUAUUUUGAUA